rnacentral:rRNA from 1 species
UACAGAGGUCUCAAGCGUUGUUCGGAUUCAUUGGGCGUAAAGGGUGCGUAGGCGGCGCGGUAAGUCGGAUGUGAAAUCUCGGAGCUUAACUCCGAAACUGCAUUCGAUACUGCCGUGCUUGAGGACUGGAGAGGAGACUGGAAUUUACGGUGUAGCGGUGAAAUGCGUAGAUAUCGUAAGGAAGACCAGUGGCGAAGGCGGCAUCCUGGACCGAGAUUGACGCUGAGGCGCGAAAGCCAGGGGAGCAAACGGG